rnacentral:ncRNA from 1 species
AAAAGACUUAGUCCUAACCUUACCGUUAAUUGUUGCUAGAUAUAUACAUGCAAGUAUCCGCGCCCCAGUGUGAAUGCCCUCUCCCUACCACUAACCUAGGCAGAGGAGCCGGUAUCAGGCACACCCGAGAUGGUAGCCCAAGACAUCUUGCUUAGCCACACCCCCACGGGUACUCAGCAGUAAUUAACAUUAAGCAAUGAGUGAAAACUUGACUUAGUCAUAGCAACCCUAAGGGUUGGUAAAUCUUGUGCCAGCCACCGCGGUCACACAAGAGACCCAAAUUAACUGUAACACGGCGUAAAGAGUGGCAGCACGCUAUCACACCAACUAAGAUCGAAAUGCAACUGAGCUGUCAUAAGCCCAAGCUGCACCUAAGACCACCCUAAAAACAAUCUUAGCAUCUGCGAUUGAUAAAACCCACGAAAGCUAAGACCCAAACUGGGAUUAGAUACCCCACUAUGCUCAGCCUUAAAUCUUGGUACUUAACUUACUAAAGUAUCCGCCUGAGAACUACGAGCACAAACGCUUAAAACUCUAAGGACUUGGCGGUGCCCCAAACCCACCUAGAGGAGCCUGUUCUAUAAUCGAUAACCCACGAUGUACCUGACCACUCCUUGCCAGAGCAGCCUACAUACCGCCGUCGCCAGCUUACCUCCCCUGAGAGUACAACAGUGAGCACAAUAGCCCUAACCACGCUAGCAAGACAGGUCAAGGUAUAGCCUAUGGAGUGGAAGAAAUGGGCUACAUUUUCUAAACUAGAAAACCCACGGAAAGGGGUGUGAAACCACCUCUAGAAGGCGGAUUUAGCAGUAAAGCAGGAUUAUAAAGCCUACUUUAAACUGGCCCUGGGGCACGUACAUACCGCCCGUCACCCUCUUCACAAGCUACUAAGCCUAAUAACUAAUACAACACCCAGCUGAAGACGAGGUAAGUCGUAACAAGGUAAGUGUACCGGAAGGUGUACUUAGCAUACC